rnacentral:rRNA from 1 species
GUUUACAAGCACACAAGCCUGAACAUUCCUGAUCUCAUCUGAUCUCAGAAGCUAAGCAUGGUUGACCCUGGUUAGUACUUGGAAGGAGACUGUAGAAUGUUUUAAAGCCAGGUAGUGUGAUUC